rnacentral:misc_RNA from 1 species
GAUGAAGAACGUAGCGAAAUGCGAUACUUGGUGUGAAUUGCAGAAUCCCGUGAACCAUCGAGUCUUUGAACGCAAGUUGCGCCCGAAGCCACUAGGCCGAGGGCACGCCUGCCUGGGCGUCACACGUCGUUCCCCCCCCAUCUACUCCUUCGGGAUUGCAGGGGGCGGAUGAUGGCCUCCCGUGCGCCUCGCCGCGCGGUUGGCAUAAAUACCAAGUCCUCGUCGACGCACGCCACGACAAUCGGUGGUUGCGAAACCUCGGUUGCCCGUCGUGUGCGUUCGUCGCGCAUCGAGGGCUCGAAAAAAUGCUCGGCUCCGGCUCGGCUUUCAACGCGACCCCAGGUCAGGCGGGGUUACCCGCUGAAUUUAAGCAUAUCAAUAAGCGGAGGA